rnacentral:rRNA from 1 species
AUGUUGUCUAAGCAAGUUUGGAGAUUGUUAUGCAACCCUGAAUCAUUAUGUGCUAGGAUUUUGAAGGCAAAAUACUAUCCAAACCAAAGUAUCCUUGAAGCUGGACCAAAAAAGGGGUCCUCUUUCACUUGGCAAAGUAUUUUUGCGGGUAUCCAAACCUUCAAAAGAGGAUGUAUUUGGAGAGUUGGAAACGGUGACUCCAUUGAUAUAUGGCGAGAUCCAUGGAUCCCUACAAGCCCGGACAGAAAGGUAAUGACGCCAAGAGGAAAUAUUGUUAUUACAAAGGUGUCCGAAUUAAUUGAUCCACAGUUGGGACAAUGGGAUGAAGAUCUGGUUCGGUCUUUGUUUACUCACGUCGAUGCAGCCAGAAUUUUCAAUAUCCCGUUAAGCUUGAAUGGAUUUGAUGAUUUUGUUGCUUGGCAUUAUAAUAGAAACAAAAUGUUCUCGGUGAGAUCGGCCUACCAUGUUGAAUGGAGACACCAAUUCGGGAAUUCCUACCAAUAUAUGGCUUCAUCUUCAAGAGGAUCAAACCCCAUAUGGCAGAAAGUAUGGAAAAUAUCUGUUCCGGGCAAAGUUAAAACUUUUGUGUGGAAGGUACUACAUGGAGCUAUUCCGGUUAAAUCAGUUCUGGUGAAUCGACACAUAGGGACGGACAGCUUGUGUCCGAUUUGUCAUAAGUAUGCAGAAGACUUGAAGCACCUUCUGUUUGAUUGUUCCCCGGCGCAAGAGCUCUAGAAAAUGUUACAACUAGAUAAACUGAUU